UGCAUCAUGAGAGGCGGGCGGGCAGGUGUGGCGCCAGAAUAAGCGUCUACACAUGCACAGGUUGUAACAAGGAGGGGACAGAGAACAGGUGUGUCGCUCAUUUGCAUGUCUCGUCCCCAGGUGAGUGUGUGUCGCAGCCUUGCCCUGCCCGGCGGGUGGCCACAAGGCUGCAGGGUGCCGCGUCGGGUUCAUCAGCCCCCGGGCAUCAGGUGGGCGGCCCCGAAGGGUUCACACCUGCAAGAAGUGCUGGCCCAUUAAUAUUCCCGUCAAGCAUCAGGUCCAGCGGGUGACAGGACGUUGAGUGACGAAUCCAGGCGCUGCUGAGGUGCGGUUGCUCGCCAGGUGAAGGGGGGGGAGGGGGCGGAUGUUGUGUUGGGCCGCCGCCACGCCACACAGUGGAGCGCAGCGAUGGUGACGGUCCGGGGCCUGAAACCUCAUCAACAGUAAACGGUAUCCACAGCGUGAAGGGGUCGGCGUCUGCUACCAUGUGAACGACUCCAAAAAUUUCCUGCUUGAUUUCUCCCCCGACGGCGAGCACCUGCCAUCACUCGCUCGCUCUUUCUGUUCGCCCGC